CUCCUGCAUGUGACGGACACAGCACUGAUCCUGGCAGCUCCUUACCCCCAGCAGCCCGAAACUCACUCCUUAAUUACACAAGGGAAACCUUUUACCUCCGCAGCCAGAGUCUGGGGGGAAAGGCAGGCGUGGGAAGAUGGGUUCUCUACCUGGCCAGUGCCAUGUUGCCUGUUUCUUUACUGUAACUGUGGUGACAAAGAAAAGGGAAGAUGGAGCCUCCAUGUUGAACAUACCUGGCCCCCAGCACUAACUCCCUCUCUGGAUAUCUGGAACAAGGAGGACCUUAAACUUAACAAUAAAGCCAAUGAUGGUUCUACCAGUCUCCCCAAAGCCUCAAGUUUAAAAGCCAUAUGAACUGGCUGAUAGUGGAAAAUGGAAGCCAUGAGGUUGAAAAGUGAAUCCUCAAAGGAAAAAUGGAAACUACUCUUGAACUUGUUGGGAUUUGAAAUUUCCUCAGGAAAUCAGAUUAGAGUACUACCUGGUGAAGCCUGGAGGACCUACCAAGAAAAGCAAACUUGGAUCUUUGCAAGGUUAGAAGAACGAAUGGGAUCCAAGAAAAAGACUGGUCAUAUUCAACGGCUAAGAGCGUUGGAGAAGGCCUGUGGAGUCUCAGCAGGUCAGGUCCAUGACUCAUGAGUAGACACCUGUGUUUCUACUGCCUGGUGCCAUAAUCAUAAACAAGGAAGAAACUGAGGACAGGAGGGGCCAAACAAGUUACAGUUUCAUCCCUCCAGAGAGCCAACAGAGUAUUUUGCACGAAGUUGAAGCUAAACAGGUAUUAUGUCCUAUCUCUGGACUGAAUGACUAGAUGCUACUCAGCUUCUGAACUAGAGGAAGCCUGGGACCUUGACCGCACUAAUGCUGAUGACAGCGGAUUUGCAAGUGGCUAGAGGUACCAGAUUUAGCAAAUCAAAAUAUAGGACGUCAAGUUAAAUUUAAGUGUAAGAUAAGCUACGAAUACCUUUUCUAGUAUUAGUACGUCCCAUGCAAUAUACUAGAAAUGUUAUUCGUUAUUUAUGUUAAAUUUAAUUUUAUUAGGGCAUCCUAUAUUUUACCUGUCAAUCCAACCCAUGACCUAGGCAGACACUGUAGAAAAACAAAAGGAGAAUUAAGGAGAUAAAUGAAACACAGGGUGAGCUGAAAAGAGGUGCUCUGUGAAUUUGAGGGUCCAGUAGGAGCUGACUUGUAGGUACUUGGUCUGUUUUGAUGCCCACAACAACCUUGGGGAAGGGGCGGAAUAGCAGAGGGGUAAGCUCUCUGCCCCCCACCAGGGUUCUGCAGGACGCCAGGGCUUUUAUCAGCACCCCUAUGUUCACAUCCUGGCUGCACCCUCCUUGGUUGUAUAUACUCUGGAUAAUUCACUUAAUUUAAAUCUUGCUGCUUUUAUAAAAUUGAUAAAAAGUUAAUAGUGACACUGAUCACACUGAUGUCCCUCAAUGAAUUAUCAAUAUGUUUUUUCUUCCCACCUAUAUUCUUUAUUGAACUCUGUUAUUUUUGAUCCUGGUCUAGAGUAAGCAUUAUGACCAUGCAAGAGUGAAAUGAAAUUUUUAAAAAUAAUUUUUUAAUGUUUUCUGAAUGCUGGGUGUUUUCAAUGAUCAUGCAUGACUGGCAGCAAAGAGGAACGAGGAUGGAUUCGAUAAGGUGCAACAAGUCCUGAACACACACAGAGAACUGGCUGUGAAUCCUGUUUCUGCCACUCACCACUUACUUGUUGGUGAAAAUGCUCAGGAUGUUCACUGCAGCCUGCCUCACCCUGGAAAAGAGAUGUGAGGAUAAUGAGAAAGAAGAGUAUGUUCAGUGCGGAGCAUGCAAAUUUGCAUGAAAACUUCCCAGGCAAAGCAGGAAAGAAACCAGACCUCUUUUCUGCACAAUAAUGGGGCCCACUAACUCUGGGGAAAAGAGUAAUCAGCAAAUGCCUUUCCUUUCUCCUGCUGAUGUUUUGCCCGUACUCAGACCCCUUGACUUCUUAGCUUCUACCCAAAGUGAGCUUGUCAUCAAAGUUCUCCAAAAAUCUGCAGUGUUCUCUUGAGCAAAUCUGCUUCCAAGACUAUAGCGCUCUGAUGCAUUGAGAUGACAGCAAGCGGCAUUUUUCAGUCCUGUUACCCAUAUGGCUGCUACCACUGCAUCCUGUUAAAUAAUGUCUUCAACCCAAGAAACCUGCUUCCUAGGGAAGUUUCUCUCUCUCUGCAUUUGUUCCCACUAGAGAAUGACCAUCACCAGAUUCCUGAACUGAAAAUGCUGUUGACACUUUGGAAACUCGGGCCUCUAUUAAUAGGGUGACCAACUAUCCUGGUUUACCUUGAGUACAGGAUUUUCAAUGCUAAAACCAGAAAAACCAGGAUGGUUGGUCAUCUGCCUCAGACCUAAUAAAUACCAGUCAAUAAUUCAGCCAUGA
rnacentral:lncRNA from 1 species